ACCCGCUGAACUUAAGCAUAUCAAUAAGCGGAGGAAAAGAAACCAACAGGGAUUGCCUUAGUAACGGCGAGUGAAGCGGCAACAGCUCAAAUUUGAAAUCUGGCCCUCGGGUCCGAGUUGUAAUUUGUAGAGGAUGCUUUUGGUGCGGUGCCUUCUGAGUUCCUUGGAACAGGACGCCUUAGAGGGUGAGAGCCCCGUACAGUUGGACACCAAGCCUCUGUAAAGCUCCUUCGACGAGUCGAGUAGUUUGGGAAUGCUGCUCUAAAUGGGAGGUAAAUUUCUUCUAAAGCUAAAUACUGGCCAGAGACCGAUAGCGCACAAGUAGAGUGAUCGAAAGAUGAAAAGUACUUUGAAAAGAGGGUUAAAUAGCACGUGAAAUUGUUGAAAGGGAAGCGUUUAUGACCAGACCUUCGUCGGGCGGAUCAUCCGGUGUUCUUCACCGGUGCACUUCGCCCGGCCUAGGCCAGCAUCGGUUUUCGUAGGGGGAUAAAAACUUAGGGAAUGUGGCUCUCUUCGAGGGAGUGUUAUAGGCCCUGGGUAUAAUACCCCCUGGCGGGGACCGAGGUUCGCGCUCCCGGCAAGGAUGCCGGCGUAAUGGUCAUCAACGACCCGUCUUGAAACACGGACC
rnacentral:rRNA from 1 species